AUUGAACGCUGGCGGCAGGCCUAACACAUGCAAGUCGAGCGGUGAAGGGAGCUUGCUCCUGGAUUCAGCGGCGGACGGGUGAGUAAUGCCUAGGAAUCUGCCUGGUAGUGGGGGAUAACGUCCGGAAACGGGCGCUAAUACCGCAUACGUCCUGAGGGAGAAAGUGGGGGAUCUUCGGACCUCACGCUAUCAGAUGAGCCUAGGUCGGAUUAGCUAGUUGGUGGGGUAAAGGCCUACCAAGGCGACGAUCCGUAACUGGUCUGAGAGGAUGAUCAGUCACACUGGAACUGAGACACGGUCCAGACUCCUACGGGAGGCAGCAGUGGGGAAUAUUGGACAAUGGGCGAAAGCCUGAUCCAGCCAUGCCGCGUGUGUGAAGAAGGUCUUCGGAUUGUAAAGCACUUUAAGUUGGGAGGAAGGGCAGUAAGUUAAUACCUUGCUGUUUUGACGUUACCAACAGAAUAAGCACCGGCUAACUUCGU
rnacentral:rRNA from 1 species